GACGAACGCUGGCGGCGUGCUUAACACAUGCAAGUCGAACGGAAAGGCCUGCUUUCCCUUGUGGAUUGCGGGUACUCGAGUGGCGAACGGGUGAGUAACACGUGAGUGAUCUGCCCCCAACUUGGGUAUAAGCCUGGGAAACUGGGUCUAAUUCCCGAUAGGACUGCAGGGUGGUGCCUGUGGUGGAAAACGAUUUUCUAGUGGUUGGGGAUGAGCUCGCGGCCUAUCAGCUUGUUGGUGGGGUAAUGGCCUACCAAGGCGGCGACGGGUAGCCGGCCUGAGAGGGUGGACGGCCACAUUGGGACUGGGAUACGGCCCAGACUCCUACGGGAGGCAGCAGUGGGGAAUAUUGGACAAUGGGCGGAAGCCUGAUGCAGCGACGCCGCGUGGGGGAUGACGGCCUUCGGGUUGUAAACUCCUUUCGACCGCGAGGAAGCCACCUGGUUGGAAGGGUGGUGACGGUAGUGGGAGAAGAAGCACCGGCUAACUACGUG
rnacentral:rRNA from 1 species